UACCAUCACCACCACCAUCACCAUCAUUACCAUCACCAUCACCACCAUCACCAUCACCACCACCAUCACCAUCAUUACCAUCACCAUCAUCAUUAUCACCACCACCACAACCAUCAUCAUCAUCACCAUCACCACUAUCACCAUCAUCGUCAUCACCAGCACCAGCACCAUCACCAUCAUCACCAUCACCACCGCCAGCACCAUCACCACCAUCACUAUCACCAUUUUCACCACCACCACCAUCAUCACCAUCACCACCACCACCAUCAUCACCAUCACCACCACCACCACCAUCAUCACCAUCACCAACAUUAUCACCACCACCAUUACUGUCAUCUUUGUGGGGCAAGCUGCCCAGCAGUGGGUAAAGAGUCUGUAUCCCUUUAAGAAUCUGCCUCUGCCCUCUCUGGGGCUGCCCCUCUAAGCCAUCCUUGGCGGUCCAGUCUGGCCCUCCCACUGUAGCCAUGCAGGCCACCAGAACGACGGUCCCAGUAUUAACCCUGGGCCAGCCCUGUACCUUCAGGGUGCACACAUGGGGGCCCUGAGCCCCAUCCACAUUGCCCUCUUGGUUUAACCAAAGCCCAAGAGAAGUCUUAAAACAUGUCUUGACCAUUUUCUGGGUCUGGGCAGGGUCCAAACUAAAUCCCAAAGACCCACAGGGCGAAGGAGGAGAGGAGGUGGGGAGCUCACCCUUCCAGCCCUCCCAGCUGCUGCCUGGAGCCACUCUGUGGGAAAGGCAGCCCAAUCCUCCAUGGACUGAUGCUGCUGGCCCCUGCGUCUGUGGGUUGAGGGUGACCGAUCUCAGCCUAAGGCAGCAAAUGACAAACGUGACUGCGUCAGCAGCACCAGAGGAUGCUGGCAAACACAGAUGCUGGGCCUUCCUCCACUUCACCCCCCACAUCCCUCACCCCUGGGGUUUCAUGAUGUCUGGGGUGACAACUGAGGGUCUGAGUUCCCAGCAAGUUCCCAAGUGACGCCAUUGCUGCAGGUCUGGACCCUGAGAGCCACCCUGCUAGUGACUUACCCAGCAGUCUUUCUUAAUGGCAUCUUGGCCCAGGGAGUCCUGCAUAUAGGUGUGUAGGUAACUCACUGGGGCCCCCAGUCACUGUAACAAACAAAGCCCUCCCUUAUACAUUUCUAAAUGGGGAGCCACAGAAAGCUCUUUUGAGAAUAUAACCCAGGCUUCCAGCUUCCACCUGGGCUCAGCUCCUGGCUGACAGCCGGCCCUAACCCACCAGCAUGUACUGAGCCAUCUUGGAGGUGGGUCCUCCAGCCUCCAUUAAAGCCGCCUCAGCUGACACCCAGUGGAGUAAAGACUAGUCUUCCUCGCUGAGCCCCAGCCUCAGCUUCUCAUCUGUAAAAUGGGCCCGCGAACACGAUAUCAAAUGUGGGUAAAAUGCCCUGCAUGCACCACAUUCUGGAGGUAAGCAUGGACAGUGUUAUGCGGACGGCAGCUGCCUGUUGGGCAGGCAGGCCCUCCCUCCCUCCUUUCCUUGAAACUUGCUGGCCCCUCACCGUGAGUUCUCAGCCCUGUUUCUGGCAUCAUAAAAGACAGUCUUUCCGUGAGCAAGCUUCUAUCCAUGGCAGCUGGUCAAGAAACUUCCUCUGCUCCCCACCCCCAGCCCUUCCUCACGGAGAUCCAGCCAAAAUGGCUGCUGAGCAGGGCAUGGAACAGCAUCAUGGCUGCCAAGUUGGCCCUGAACCCCCAUCACCAGGCCCUGCACACUGAUGGCCUGGUGGAGAGGUUGGGCAUGGGACCUCGUGGGGGACGUGGCAGCAGCCGGUGGGGGUGGGGAGGGCUAAGUGGGGAGGAGAGACGUGCAUGAAUAAUCUGGUGACCUUUCGUCUUCUGUGUUUGGGCGAACCUAAGACUGUUUACAAUAAACCUCAGGGAGAUUUUUCAUCCAUCCAAAUGGAACAAAGGUUAUGUAAGCAGAAAGACCUCAGGCUCAGCAAACACCUGCUCCAAGGGGCCAAACGGAGGGAGUGCAGGAGAGAUGGAGGCCCUUGGUUGACUCAUGAUCAAGUUCAUCAUAACAGCGGUUUUAUGGAGCUGGAAGGCUGCUGGGAAAGACCGUGAGCACUUCCUGGGGCUUAAUCGACCAGGCCACACGCAAGGGAGGGGCCCCAGGGCCCCUGCAUCCGCACACAUUAAAAGGAGCACACAGCCUGGGACCCCCAAGGGGCUGCCCAACCCUAGCUUUUAUUUCAAAGUUACUCUGGGUGUCUUCUCUUUAAAAGCCUGCCUUUGCCGUGGCUGUGAAACUCAUGAGCACCCAACGCUUCAAGCCAGGGGCCUGCAUAUAUUUUGGAUGAUAGCAAGCAGGAAAGCAGGUCUAAUCAGGAAUAAAAAUCUGAGAG
rnacentral:lncRNA from 10 species